rnacentral:rRNA from 1 species
AACGCUAGCUACAGGCUUAACACAUGCAAGUCGAGGGGCAGCAUGGUCUUAGCUUGCUAAGGCCGAUGGCGACCGGCGCACGGGUGAGUAACACGUAUCCAACCUGCCGUCUACUCUUGGACAGCCUUCUGAAAGGAAGAUUAAUACAAGAUGGCAUCAUGAGUCCGCAUGUUCACAUGAUUAAAGGUAUUCCGGUAGACGAUGGGGAUGCGUUCCAUUAGAUAGUAGGCGGGGUAACGGCCCACCUAGUCUUCGAUGGAUAGGGGUUCUGAGAGGAAGGUCCCCCACAUUGGAACUGAGACACGGUCCAAACUCCUACGGGAGGCAGCGGUGAGGAAUAUUGGUCAAUGGGCGAGAGCCUGAACCAGCCAAGUAGCGUGAAGGAUGACUGCCCUAUGGGUUGUAAACUUCUUUUAUAAAGGAAUAAAGUCGGGUAUGGAUACCCGUUUGCAUGUACUUUAUGAAUAAGGAUCGGCUAACUCCGUGCCAGCAGCCGCGGUAAUACGGAGGAUCCGAGCGUUAUCCGGAUUUAUUGGGUUUAAAGGGAGCGUAGAUGGAUGUUUAAGUCAGUUGUGAAAGUUUGCGGCUCAACCGUAAAAUUGCAGUUGAUACUGGAUAUCUUGAGUGCAGUUGAGGCAGGCGGAAUUCGUGGUGUAGCGGUGAAAUGCUUAGAUAUCACGAAGAACUCCGAUUG